UGAGGCACGAAAGCAUAGGUAGCAAACGGGAUUAGAUACCCCGGUAGUCUAUGCUGUAAACGAUGAAUGCCAGCUGCUUUCCGUAAAAAGAGAGUGGCGUAGCAAACGCAAUGAGCAUUCCGCCUGGGGAUUACGGUCGCAAGACUAAAACUCAAAGGAAUUGACGGGGACCCGCACAAGCGGUGGAGCAUGUGGUUUAAUUCGACGCAACGCGAAGAACCUUACCUGGGUUUGACAUCCCCUGACCGCGUUAGAAAUAACGCUUUCUCUUCGGAGACAGGGUGACAGGUGCUGCAUGGCUGUCUUCAGCUCGUGUCGUGAGAUGUUGGGUUAAGUCCCGCAACGAGCGCAACCCUUGUCCUUAAUUGCCAACAGGUUAUGCUGGGAACUUUAAGGAGACUGCCGGCGUCAAGCUGGAGGAAGGAGGGGAUGACGUCAAGUCCUCAUGGCCUUUAUAUCCAGGGCUACACACGUGCUACAAUGGGGGGUACAAAGAGUUGCAAAACUGCGAAGUCAAGCUAAUCUCAUAAAACCUCUCUCAGUUCGGAUUGAAGUCUGCAAUUCGACUUCAUGAAGCUGGAAUCGCUAGUAAUCGUGGAUCAGCACGCCACGGUGAAUACGUUCUCGGGUCUUGUACACACCGCCCGUCAAACCAUGGGAGUUGAUUUGAGAGGAAGUCGCUGAGCCAACCGUAAGGAGGCAGGCGCCCAAUCUUGGAUCGAUGACUGGGGUUAAGUCGUAACAAGGUAACC
rnacentral:rRNA from 1 species